GAUCGGUAGGUUUUCACUCGACCGGUGAGUUUUCACUCGGAUGGUAAGCUUUCACUCGACCAAAAACAUAGCCUGAUCUUUAUUUGCCUCUCCAGGUUACAUACGACCUCGGAUUGAGACGAAUUUUAUAUGAAAAUCGAUCGGCUCGACGAGACGAAACUUUUUCUUGUUGAAGGUUUUUCGAUUCAAGGACUUCUUAAGGGCCUAAUUACUCGCGCGACCCAUCAGACAUGGCGUGUGAUACUUUGCGCCAGAUUUCCACUCAGCUUCGGCCUGCAGUGUAUUGCCUCUAACUUUUGCAUAUGAACUCGGAUUGAGAUGAUUUAUAUAUCAAAAUCGAUCGCCUCGACGAGACGAAGACAAUUCCUUUAGAAUACUCCUUCAUCCGAGGUCGUCUUAAGGGCAUGAUCGGCCGAAAACUACUCGGAAUGUUGAAUUUUGUCACUCGGAGUACAACUUCGGCCACCGAGAUAAGGUCGAAUGGCGAUAAGUUAAACACCAAAGUUAUUCCACUCGGCGACCUGAAACUUUGCAUGCCGAAAACUCUUUUACUUGAGGCCACCUUACUUGACUUUUGUACCUUGCCAAAAUCCGAUGUCAACACAUGCCCCCCUUGUUUUUCGGCAAAGCUUGCAUGCCGAAAAAUAAUAUGCACUGUGUUUGUUCUAAGGACGAUGUCAACGCUCCAUCGGCCAUUUAUUUUUCUCAGGGCGAUAAUUAUGUAUCGGCCAUGUUUGUGCUAAGGGCGAUAAUUGUAUAUCGGCCAUUGCCUACUCAGGCUUCCUGCCACACACUCGGGUGGUACUUCUUCAAAUAUUUUCCGUUGAGAGCUCGAGGUAACAAUGCCCCUUGUAUUGAUUCCACCAAAUAUGAAUUUCCGGGAACAACCCUUGUAAUCCUAAAAGGACCUUCCCAACUUGGAGACCACUUCCCAAAUUUUCUAUCUCUUGAACCAAUCGGCAGAAUCACUUUCCAAACGAGAUCACCAACUUGAAAAUUCUUCAACUUGACUUUCUUAUUGUAAGCUCUUGCUACCCUCAACUUAUCUCUCUCUAUGGACUCCAAAGCAACCAAACGUUUAUCGGCAACCUCAUCAAUAUUGUCCAUCAUUAAGUUAUAAAAGUCUACUGCCGAUAAAUCAUUUUGUUUGGCUAUUCUCAAAGCAUUCAAAUUUACCUCCACUGGUAAAACAGCCUCCUGACCAUAUACUAGCUCAUAUGGAGUCAUCUUCGUAGCAUCAUGUCUUGAAAUUCUGUGUGCCCAUAAAGCUUCAGACAACAACUCAUGCCAUCUCCUCGGAUUAUCCUCAAUCUUCUUCUUGAUGAGCUUGAUUAGAAUUUUAUUGCUAGACUCAGCUUGUCCAUUAGCUUGGGCAUAAUAUGGAGAGCAAUUGAGCAACUUUAUAUUAUAAGAUUCGGCAAACUCUCUGACUUGGUGUGACAUAAAAGAUGAACCUUGAUCUGUAGUUAAUGUUUGAGGAAUACCGAAUCUAUGAAUAAUGUGUUCGGUUAUGAAUCGAAUUACCUCCGUAUGUGUCAUGUUCUUGAGAGGUACUGCUUCAGACCAUUUAGUGAAAUAAUCAGUUGCCACCAAUACGAACCGAUGCCCUUUUGAGGAAGACGGGUGGAUUUGUCCAAUGAAAUCUAAACCCCAACCUCUGAAAGGCCACGGUUUGAUAAUAGGAUGUAACAUAGCAGCAGGAGCCAAAUGAAUAUCACCAAACUUUUUACAAGCUUCACACCCUUUAUAAUAUCUGAAGCAAUCAUUAAUCAUAGUCGGCCAAUAAAAUCCAGCACGUUGCAAUAACCAUUUCAUCUUGGGAGCCGACUGGUGAGUGCCACAAAUACCUUCAUGUACUUCUCCCAUAGCAACUCUUGCCUGGUCCUCAUCCAAACACUUUAGAAGAACAUCAUCGACUGUUCGGCGAUAAAGACCAUCAUCUCUCAUUGUAUACUUGAAAGCCAUACGCCGAACAGCCCUGUCUACCCUUUCACUCGGAUUGCACAAGUAAUCAACAAUGGGCUUUCUCCAGUCGGAAUUAUCACCUGCACUAGAUUUUUUGUUAAUGGCCGAAUCAGUGGGUUCAGGUUCGGCCUCUCCCAUAUUGGCAAGACAAGACAUUGGUCUUUGAGAGAUAUGAAACAUGCCAUGAUCAACAUGAUAUCCAGAUGCUUGCUGUGCCAACUCAUUUGCUUUCCAGUUGUCAUGUCUAGAUAUAUGUGCAAUGCUAAAACAAUCCAAAGUAGAAAUUAUAUCUAGACAUUUAUCAAGAUAAACAUUAAGUGAUUCGUCAAAACACUGAAAGACUUUGGAUAUUUGCUGCACCUCUAGUAACGAAUCACCGUAAGCCUCAAUAUGUGUAACACCUAUAGCAAGUAACAUCUCUAGACCGAAUAACAAUGCUUCAUAUUCGGCUUGAUUGUUUGUGCAAAAAUAUUCUAAGCGGCAUGAGGCUUCAAAAACAGCACCAUGAGGAGAUAUAUAAACAAUACCAACACCUUGGCCAUUGCUACAAACUGAACCAUCAAAGUAUAAUCUCCAUGGCACUAAUGAAACAAGGUUCAUAUCAACAUCAUGCUUGUCAUCAAUCCGAUGUUCAACAAUGAAAUUAGCAACAAUUUGGCCUUUCAUGGAUUUUAGAGAUUCAUAAGCCAAAUCAUACUCAAUCAAAGCAUAAGCCCACUUGCCAAUUCUACCACUAAGAAUUGGCCUAUGCAACAUGUACUUAAUGACACCGGUUUGACAAGCUACUACACAAGCACUCGGCACUAGGUAAUGUCUCAAUUUUGUGCAAGCGUAAUAUAAGCAUAGACAUAGUUUUUCAAUAAAUGUAUACCUUGUCUCGGCGUCCAAUAAACGUCUGCUCAAAUAUGUAAUGGCAUGCUCUUUUCCUUCGGUAUCUUGAGUUAAAACAGCACCAAUAACACCUUCCUCUGCUGCGAUAUAAAGUUUAAAAGGUUCUCUAUGCUUGGGUGCUUUCAUCACCGGAGGAGUGCACAAAUAAUUCUUGAUCAUAUCAAAGGCUUCUUGCUGUUUUGCCCCCCAAGUGAAAUCAACAUCAUUCUUUAACCGAAGGAUAGGAGUAAAUGCAUCAACUUUCCCUGACAGAUUAGCUAUGAACCUUCUCAAAUAAUUGACCUUGCCAAGGAACUUUUGCAUAUCUCUCUUGCAUGUUGGAGCCUCCACUUUCUGUAUGGCCUCUAUCUUUUUGGGAUCGAUUUCGAUGCCAUCUUCAUGAAUAAUGAAACCCAAAAAUUUGCCAGCUGACACGCCAAAUGCACACUUCAAAGGAUUCAUCUUCAGUCCAUACUUUUUCAUUCUUUCAAAAGCUAAACGCAAAUCGGCCAAGUGAGAUUCAAAAGCAUCCGAUUUGACAACAAUAUCAUCAAUAUAAACUUCAAGUAUGACACCGAGUAAAUCAUGAAAAAUCAAAUUCAUAUCCCUCUGAUAUGUGGCCCCAGCAUUUUUCAAUCCGAAUGUCAUCACUGUCCACUCGAAUAAACCAAGGAAACCAGGACAUCGGAAAGCUGUUUUGUACAUGUCCUCUUCGGCCAUAAAAAUUUGAUUGUAUCCGGCAUUACCAUCUAGAAAGCUAAUAACCUUAUGUCCAGAAGCAUCAUUAAUAAGCAUAUCGGCUAUUGGCAUGGGAUACUCAUCUUUGGGUGUAGCCCUAUUCACAUCUCUGAAGUCAAUGCACACCCUCAACUUGCCGGAUCUCUUCUUCUCUACUAGGACAAUGUUAGAAAUCCACUCGGCAUACCUGCAAGGUCGAAUGAAUUUAGCUUCAAGCAGUCGACCGAUCUCUUCCUUGAUCCGGUCAUAUGUUUUCGGAUUAAACUUUCUGGCCGAUUGUUUAUAAGGUCUAAAACCGGCCUUUAUAGGCAACCGAUGCUCCACUAGCUCUCGGCUCAACCCUGGCAUCUCAUGAUAUUCCCAUGCAAAGCAACAAACGUAUUCUUUCAAUAGCUCGAUUAACUUAGUUUUACAAUCGGCUUUCAAAUUUUUGUUUAUAAAUGUCGGUCGACUGACUGAUCCGUCUCCGAUAUCUACCUCUUCUAACGGAUCGGCCGAUGUAAAACCUUGUCCAAGUUUAUCCAUGUCAUCCAACUCCUCAACAGACUCAUACAUAUCCUUCUCGCUGGACCGAUAUUUUGCAAGACGUUUUUGUAACCACUCGGAAUUAGGAUCCAUUUAAACAUAUCAUACCUUGGAGCCGAUUGCAUUCAGUCGGUUUUAAAGACACGGGCACAAAACCAUUUUUGGUCGCACUGAGAAAAUCAAACUCUGAUAAAUCACGUCCCGUCAAGCAAGUAGCAUUGGGAUGUUGCCAAUCCACCGGUGCAUCGGCCAAAGCAACACAAGCUGAAUUAUCCGCAUGAAUGAUUUCCACUUCGUCAUCAACCCAUUGAAUCAAAAACUGGUGCAUAGUGGACGACACGCACUGGUUUGCAUGAACCCAAUCACGUCCUAGUAUGACGUUGUAGUUACCUUGCACAUCAGCGACAAAGAAUGCAGUAGCCAAAGUUUUGCUUCCGACUGUAAGCUCCACAUACAUCACACCUUUGGCUUCAGUUUUUUCUUUGCCUUCAAAUCCGUUGAGCACCAUAUUGGUCUUGAUCAAUUCUUCAUCAGGCAAACCCAAUUUCUUGAAGACCGAAUAGGGCAUAAGAUUUACCACAGCACCACCAUCAACAAGCAUCCGAGUGAGCGGAGACCCAUUGAUAUGACCUCUGAGAUAUAAUGGUUUCAGAUGCGUUACUGGUUCUUUUGGCUUCUCGAAUAUUGCAUUUUUAGGGCCAAAAUCCAGCUGAGCCACUUCCCCUUCCUCAUCUACAGCAUGAAACUCAGCAGGUAAGUAAUACACCAUAUUGAUAUCCAUACCUUCAUGAACCGGUGCAGAUUCAUAGUCCAAUAUAUCAGCCUCUUCUUCAAGUGGAUCGACCGAUUCUGAAAUCUGUCCGAGUGAAGGAGAGGUAAGAAGUGUCACAGACGAUGUAAUAGCUGUCGCAUCGUCCUCUUUGGGUGGUGUGGACACUUCUGUGAUAGAUGUAGAAGCUGAUGUAUCUUGUAUUUGUUUUGGCCUCCACACUUUUUUUGCUGGAACCAUGGGCCGAGUGUUAUUGAACAACUUAUCCCUUUGCUUCUCGGCCUCCUGCUCCGCCAUCUCUUGACUCCUUAACCUUUGUAGUUUCCUCUUCUGUGUCUUUGUUAGCCCUGGAGGACACCACUUUGGCCGAGUGUAUUUAGCAUCUCUCACCUUUACUUGGCUGGUGCUUGCUUCAUGGUCAUUAGCCGAGUGCUUUGGCGCGAUAGAAAGUAUCGGCUCAGUUGAGUGAUUAUGCACAGUCGACUGCUGUAUGGGGAAUGUUUCGGUGCCCAAGAUAAGUGAGUCGACAUCCAUUUUCUCCUUGCCUUUGCCCGACUCAACUGCUGCAACACUUGGUGACUUAACACGCCAUUCCUUUCGAUUUUCCAGAUGCAUGAAAUUUCCACUCGGGCGCACCUUUUUACUCUGAUGGAAUCCACUCGGAUUGAUGUCACUCGGAUGGUAUCCACUCGGAUGGUACUCAGUCGGAUGGAAUCUACCCAUCCACAUUUUUUCACUCGGAUAGCUUCCACCUGGGUGCAUUCUUACACUUGGAUAAUUUCCAUCCGGUCGCAUAUUUUGACCAGCCGACUGAUAGUUACCAAUGUUGAGUCGACCAUUAUAUGAGUAAUCAAUUCGAUCCCACACAGAUUGCCUCUGCUCUUCUGAAAACUGCGCCCUCGGUCCACUCGGUUUUGUGUACCGACUGAACAUAUCAACUGAUGGUGACCUUGGUCGUUUCAGAUGAGUCGGUCGAUUGAAACUAGAAUCAGCCGACUGAUUAGCAUAUUUGGACAGCAACAUAUCAAAAGUUGGCUUGAUCCGCUUGCGUUGCACUUUAGCUUCAUUCUUCUUCCACUUGCCAACUUCUGGACUCUUGGGCUUGACAAAUUUAACACGAGUAUUUUCUUGCACUUGCGGUUGCCCCCCGAGUGUAGGAUUCUUGAUGGUGAUUUUGAUCACUUCCUUGCCAUCGGGUUGCUUAUCAAGCACAACCUGUCUCCCCAAGACCUUGUUGUCUUCCUUGUCUUUCCUGGGCUCACCAACAAUGACAUUAGCUUUAUUAGCAGAUUCGGCUACCUCCGGCCGAAUGAGUAACUUCUUCCCUUCUAAAUCCAUGGCGUUCAUUGGAAAGGGUUGUUUAUCAACUUGCAUCUCAGAAAAGUUCAAUCGUCCGUCAUUAAUGGCCGAUUGUAUCUGUCGUUGAAAAACAUUGCAAUCAUUAGUAGCAUGAGAAAAAGAAUUAUGAUACUUGCAAUAAGCACGCCGUUUCAGCUCUUGAAACGGCGGUAAAGUAUGAGAUAUUCUAAUAAUCUUAGCCUGCAGCAAAGCAUCAAAUAUUCUAUCACACUUAGCAAUGUUAAAAGUAAACUUCAUCUCUUCAUCACGAUUCUUAUGAAUCGGUUUCAGAUCAUUGCAAGUAAAGGGUUUGGCCUUAGAUGGCCAAACAAAUUCAGUAGAAAAAACAUCACCCUCAUCGUCCGAGUGAUCACUGUCAUAUUCCACCAUAUUCAUCUUUGGACGACCGGCUUUGUAUCUAUGCACUUCUUUGAGGUCUUUGCUUCGGCUUUCCUGAGCCAAAGCCCUUUGUAAGACUUGGUUGAUGUUUAAGAACUCGUAGCCUUCUAGCUUUUCUCUAAUGGGAGUUCUCAAACCACUCAGCACUAGGUCUGCCAAGUCUCUCUCGGUUAUCACCAAACUAAAACACCGGUUUUUCGUAUCUCUGAAUCUCUUGACGUAAUCGGAGACUGAUUCAUCAUGCUUCUGCUUAACCGAUGUUAGAUGUGACAACUUGAGUUCAUUGUCGCUGCUAUAAAAGUGAUCAUGAAAUUUCUGCUCUAGCUGCGACCAAACUCGAAUGGAACCAUGUGGUAAAGAAGAAAACCAUGAAAAUGCGGUACCAGUUAAUGACAAAGGAAAUAAACGCACUUUCAACUCAUUCAGUGAGCCUGCCUCACCCAAUUGUGCUAAGUAUUGACUAACAUGCUCCCAUGUGGUUUUUGUGCCCUCUCCAUUGAACUUAACAAAAUCUGGAAUUUUAUAUCCUGGAGGGCACUGGAUAGCAUCAAAGUACUCGGGGUACGGCUUUUGGUAAAUCCGAUUCCGAGGUAACUCAACUCCAAAAUUUUCUCGAAGCAUCUUAGCCAUCUCCUCUCUAAGAUUAGCUAAACCAUCAUCCAUAGUGGACGAUGAAGCUUGUGGCAGUGGCAUAGGAGGGGUAGGGUUACUAGCUGUAGGUAGGAAUUGUGGCAUGUAUGUCGACCCAUAAUUUGGUAGUGGUCGAGUGGUUGUAGCUGUAGGUAGGGUUUGGUUCGGCGUCACCACCGAACCUGGCAUGCUCAUAAUAGGAUUAAUGGGUGCAGCCACAAUCUGAUUUGUUUGGGUAGGAUAAUAAGUCAUCGGCACGGGAGGCGCCGAUGAGAUAGGUAAAGCCAGAUUAGGGUUUUGCACACUAGCAGCUACACCAUCAUUACCACUAGUCGAUUGAGAUGUAUUCUUCUGAGCAUUAGUAUUUUCUAUGAAAGUUUGAUAGACUAGAUUGUUACCAUCAGCAAUACGACUUUCAAUCUCAGCCCACUGCUCAGGAGAAAAGGUAGUACUUACAGAGGGUUUAACCUGCUCGGCUUGCAAAGGAGGGAACUUGAUUUCUUCAAUCGGAGUGAUGUUGCCUUGGCGAUCCUUCUUGAACUUUGCAAGGAACUCCUGCAAGUCCUUCUCCUCGCGCGCCUUCUUGUACUCCUCAUAGACUUGGUGAUGAUCGGCCGAUAUCUCAUCAAGACUGGGCUUAAUGAUGUUAUCGGCGUCUACCUCAGAUGGCUUGGGAAGAUCGGACAUGGUGGAUGAUGAUGAUUGAUCUUCGGUCCCCAGCGGAGUCGCCAAAAAGUGUUUUGACACACGAACACGUCACGUGUACCCUCGACGCCGGGGGUGAUGCACCGCAGCUCACGUCGAAGGAGACCCGACCGACAGCGCGAUAUGCAAGACAGUCGGCGGGUGCUUUUGCAGACCCGAAACCCCGCGCACCCGGGAGGGACCCCGUCAGGGAUUGCGGCGGCUAUGGGCUGCCCUAGGUCGAUUCGCUCGCCCCUAGAGCCUCGGGAUUCGCAGCUCUCAAACACGAAGAACAGCGAAGAACGAGAUAGAAAAACGGUGGAGAGAUAAAAAGUAGACAGGAAAAAGUAGUAUAUUGAUUUGUUCGAUUGUGUGUUGUUCAAUCGGCCGUCACCCCCAACAUAUAUAAGAGGCGGCUGGACUUCCCGUACAAGUAAAGGAUUCAUCUAGGCUUUCCUUACAAGAAAAAUUACAUCAAUUCACGUCCUAGAGUCCUAGUUCUAUUCCAACUCGGAUCCAGUCUGAAUCUGGCCCAACUUCUGUCUUCCUCCGUGUGCAGGCCGCCGAGCCUCCAUAUGACCUCCGAUCAAGAUGGCCCAAAUACCAAACUUGUGCGCCUCGACGAUAUGAACAACUCUCAUGUUGAUCACUUUUUCAAAUAAGGCCAUCUUGAAUACUUUUCGAGGUCAUCUUUACCUUCCAGUCGGACUCGGUCUUGCGGUAGACUGAAUUAUCCGAGUCUUGUAGUGAAUUUGCAGGCCAUAUACUAUCUCUGAUGACGAUGACUCCAAAAGCAAAGUUUACCGUCUUGACGAUACACACAACUUCUGUAUUGAACACUUCUUCAUCCGAGAUCAUCUUGAUAAACUUUUGGGCACAUGUUCAGUUUCACUCGGAUUUGAGCUCAUCCACUCGGAUUUUAGAGUCUUUCACUCGGAUGGUCCGACUGGACUUUUCAAUCGGAUGACUAUAUUUUCACUCAGAAGACAAUCAAUCGGUAGGUUUUCACUCGACCUUUUACUCGAUCGGUAGGUUUUCACUCGACCUUUUACUCGAUCGGUAGGUUUUCACUCGACCUUUUACUCGAUCGGUAGGUUUUCACUCGACCUUUUACUCGAUCGGUAGAUUUUCACUCGACCUUUUACUCGAUCGGUAGGUUUUCAUCCGAAAGGUAAGCUUUCACUCGACCGGUGAGUUUUCACUCGGAUGGUAAGCUUUUCACUCGACCGGUGAGUUUUCACUCGGAUGGUAAGCUUUUUCACUCGACCAAAAACAUAGCCUGAUCUUGAUUUGUCUCCCCAAGUCUUAUACGACCUCGGAUUGAGACGAAUUAUAUAUGAAAAUCGAUCGGCUCGACGAAGCGAAACUUUUUCGUGUUGAAGGUUUUUCGAUCCAAUGCCGUCUUGAAGGCCAAAUUGCUCGCGCGACCCAUCAGACAUGGCGUCUGGUACUUCGCGCCAUAUUUCCACUCAGCUUCGGCCCGCAGUGUAUUGCCUAUAACUUUUGCAUAUGAACUCGGAUUGAGAUGAUUUAUAUAUCAAAAUCGAUCGCCUCGACGAGACGAAGACAAUUCCUUUAGAGUACUCCUUCAUCCGAGGUCGUCUUGAAGGCAUGGUCGACCGAAAACCACUCGGAAUGUUGAAUUUUGUCACUCGGAGUACAACUUCGGCCACCGAGAUAAGGUCGAAUGGCGAUAAGUUAAACAUCAAAGUUAUUCCACUAGGCGACCUGAAACUUUGCAUGCUGAAAACUCUUUCACUUGAGGCCAUCUUACUUGCCUUUUGUACCUUGCCAAAAUCCAAUGUCAACACAUGCCCCCCUGUUUUUCGGCAAAGCUUGCAUGCCGAAAAAUAAUAUGCACGGUGUUUGUUCUAAGGACGAUGUCAACACUCGAUCGGCCAUUUAUUUUCCUCAGGGCGAUAAUUAUGUAUCGGCCAUGUUUGUGCUAAGGGCGAUAAUCGUAUAUCGGCCAUUGCCUACUCAGGCUUCCUGCCACACACUCGGGUGGUACUUCUUCAAAUAUUUUCCGUUGAGAGCUCGAGGUAACAAUGCCCCUUGUAUUGAUUCCACCAAAUAUGAAUUUCCAGGAACAACCCUUGUAAUCCUAAAAGGACCUUCCCAACUUGGAGACCACUUCCCGAAUUUUCUAUCUCUUGAACCAAUCGGCAGAAUCACUUUCCAAACGAGAUCACCAACUUGAAAAUUCUUUAACUUGACUUUCUUAUUGUAAGCCCUUGCUACUCUCAACUUAUCUCUCUCUAUGGCAUUCAAAGCAGCCAAACGUUUAUCAGCAACCUCGUCAAUGUUGUCCAUCAUCAAGUUAUAGAAGUCUAUUGCCGAUAAAUCAUUUUGUUUGGCUAUUCUCAAAGCAUUCAAAUUUACUUCCACCGGUAAAACAGCCUCCUGACCAUAUACUAGCUCAUAUGGAGUCACUUUCGUAGCACAAUGCCUUGAGAUUCUAUGUGCCCAUAAUGCCUCAGACAACAAGUCAUGCCAUCUCCUUGGAUUAUCCUCAAUCUUCUUUUUGAUGAGCUUGAUUAAAAUUUUAUUGCUAGACUCGGCUUGUCCAUUAGCUUGGGAAUAAUACGGAGAGGAAUUGAGCAACUUUAUAUUAUAAGAUUCGGCAAACUCUCUGACUUGGUGUGACAUAAAAGAUGAACCUUGAUCUGUAGUUAAUGUUUGAGGAAUACCGAAUCUAUGAAUAAUGUGCUUAGUUAUGAAUUGAAUUACCUCCGUAUGUGUCAUGUUCUUGAGAGGUACUGCUUCAGACCAUUUAGUGAAAUAAUCAGUUGCCACCAACACGAAUCGAUGCCCCUUUGAGGAAGAUGGAUGAAUUUGCCCAAUAAAAUCUAAACCCCAUCCUCUGAAAGGCCACGGCUUGAUAAUAGGAUGCAACAUAGCAGCAGGAGCCAAUUGAAUAUCACCAAAUUUUUGACAAGCUUCGCACCCUUUAUAAUAUCUGAAGCAAUCAUUAAUCAUGGUCGGCCAAUAAAACCCAGCACGUCGUAAUAACCAUUUCAUCUUAGGAGCCGACUGGUGAGUACCACAAAUUCCCUCAUGUACCUCUCCCAUAGCAACUCUUGCUUGGUCCUCAUCCAAGCAUUUUAAAAGAACAUCAUCAACUGUUCGGCGAUAAAGGUCAUCAUCCCUUAUAGUAUAUUUAAAAGCCAUACGCCGAACAGCCCUGUCCACCCUUUCACUCGGAUUGCGCAAGUAAGCAACAAUGGGCUUCCUCCAGUCGGAAUUGUCAUCUGCACUAGAUUUUUUGUUAAUGACCGAAUCAGUGGGUUCAGGUUCGGCCUCUCCCAUAUUGGCAAGACAAGAUAUCGGUCUUUGAGAAAUAUGAAACAUGCCACGAUCAACAUGAUAUCUAGAUGCUUGUUGUGCCAACUCAUUUGCUUUCCAAUUGUCAUGUCUAGAUAUAUGUGCAAUGCUAAAACAAUCCAAAGUAGAAAUUAUAUCUAGACAUUUAUCAAGAUAAACAUUAAGUGAUUCGUCCAAACACUGAAAGACUCUGGAUAUUUGCUGCACCACUAGUAACGAAUCACCGUAAGCCUCAAUAUGUGUAACACCUAUAGCAAGUAACAUCUCUAGACCGAAUAACAAUGCUUCAUAUUCGGCUUGAUUGUUUGUGCAAAAAUUUUCUAAGCGGCAUGAGGCUUCAAAAAUAGCACCACGAGGAGAUAUAUAAACAAUACCAACACCUUGGCCAUUGCUACAAACUGAACCAUCAAAGUACAAUCUCCAUGGCACUAAUGAAACAAGGUUCAUAUCAACAUCAUGCUUGUCAUUAAUCCGAUGUUCAACAAUGAAAUUAGCAACAAUUUGACCUUUCAUGGAUUUUAGAGAUUCAUAAGCCAAAUCAUACUCAAUCAAAGCAUAAGCCCACUUGCCAAUUCUACCACUAAGAAUUGGCCUAUGCAACAUGUACUUAAUGACAUCGGUUUGACAAGCUACUACACAAGCACUCGGCACUAGGUAAUGUCUCAAUUUUGUGCAAGCGUAAUACAAACAUAGACAUAGUUUUUCAAUAAAUGUAUACCUUGUCUCGGCGUCCAAUAAACGUCUGCUCAAAUAUGUAAUGGCAUGUUCUUUUCCUUCGGUAUCUUGAGUCAAAACAGCACCAAUAACACCUUCCUUUGCUGCGAUAUAAAGUUUAAAAGGCUCUCUAUGCUUUGGUGCUUUCAUCACCGGAGGAGUGCACAAAUAAUUCUUGAUCAUAUCAAAGGCUUCUUGCUGUUUUGCUCCCCAAGUGAAAUCAACAUCAUUUUUUAACCGAAGGAUAGGAGUAAAUGCAUCAACUUUCCCUGACAGAUUAGCUAUGAACCUUCUCAAAUAAUUUACCUUGCCAAGGAACUUUUGCAUAUCUCUCUUGCAUGUUGGAGCCUCCACUUUCUGUAUAGCCUCUAUCUUUUUGGGAUCGAUUUUGAUGCCAUCUUCAUGAAUAAUGAAACCCAAAAAUUUGCCAGCUGACACGCCAAAUGCACACUUCAAAGGAUUCAUCUUCAGUCCAUACUUUUUCAUCCUUUCGAAAGCUAAACGCAAAUCGGCCAAGUGAGAUUCAAAAGCAUCCGAUUUGACAACAAUAUCAUCAAUAUAAACUUCAAGUAUGACACCGAGUAAAUCAUGAAAAAUCAAAUUCAUAUCCCUUUGAUAUGUGGCCCCGGCAUUUUUCAAUCCGAAUGUCAUCACUGUCCACUCGAAUAAACCAAGGAAACCAGGACAUCGGAAAGCUGUUUUGUACAUGUCCUCUGCGGCCAUAAAAAUUGGAUUGUAUCCGGCAUUACCAUCUAGAAAGCUAAUAACCUUAUGUCCAGAAGCAUCAUUAAUAAGCAUAUCGGCUAUUGGCAUGGGAUACUCAUCUUUGGGUGUAGCCCUAUUCACAUCUCUGAAGUCAAUGCACACCCUCAACUUGCCGGAUCCCUUCUUCUCCACUGGGACAAUGUUAGAAAUCCACUCGGCAUACCUACAAGGUCGAAUGAAUUUAGCUUCAAGCAGUCGACCGAUCUCUUCCUUGAUCCGGUCAUAUGUUUUUGGAUCAAACUUUCUGGCCGACUGUUUAUAAGGUCUAAAACCGGCCUUUAUAGGCAACCGAUGCUCCACUAGCUCUCGGCUCAACCCUGGCAUCUCAUGAUAUUCCCAUGCAAAGCAACAAACAUAUUCUUUCAAUAGCUCGAUUAACUUAGUUUUACAAUCGGCUUUCAAAUUUUUGUUUAUAAAUGUCGGUCGACUGACUGAUCCAUCUCCGAUAUCUACCUCUUCUAACGGAUCGGCCGAUGUAAAACCUUGUCCAAGUUUAUCCAUAUCAUCCAACUCCUCAAUAGACUCAUACAUAUCGUUCUCGCUGGACCGAUAUUUUGCAAGACGUUUUUGUAACCACUCGGAAUUAGGAUCCAUUUAAACAUAUCAUACCUUGGAGCUGAUUGCAUUCAGUCGGCUUUAAAGACACGGGCACAAAACCAUUCUUGGUCGCACUGAGAAAAUCAAACUCUGAUAAGUCACGCCCCGUCAAGCAAGUAGCAUUGGGAUGUUGCCAAUCCACCGAUGCAUCGGCCAAAGCAACACAGGCCGAGUUAUCCGCAUGAAUGACUUCCACUUCAUCAUCAACCCACUGAAUAAAAAACUGGUGCAUAGUGGAUGGCACGCACUGGUUUGCAUGAACCCAAUCACGACCUAGUAUAACAUUGUAGUUACCUUGCACCUCAGCGACAAAGAAUGCAGUGGCCAAAGUUUUGCUUCCGACUGUAAGCUCCACAUACAUUACACCUUUGGCUUCAGUUUUCUCUUUGCCUUCAAACCCGUUGAGCACCAUAUUGGUCUUGAUCAAUUCUUCAUCAGGCAAACCCAAUUUCUUGAAGACCGAAUAGGGCAUAAGAUUUACCACAGCACCUCCAUCCACAAGCAUCCGAGUGAGCGGUGACCCAUUGAUAUGACCUCUGAGAUAUAACGAUUUUAGAUGCGUCACUGGUUCUUUUGGCUUCUCGAAUAUUGCGUUCUUAGGGCCAAAAUCCAGCUGAGCAACUUCCCCUUCCUCAUCUACAGCACGAAACUCAGCAGGUAAGUAAUACACCAUAUUGAUAUCCAUACCUUCAUGAACCGGUGUAGAUUCAUAGUCCAACAUAUCAGCCUCUUCUCCAAGUGGAUCGACCGAUUCUGAAAUCUGGCCGAGUGAAGGAGAACUAAGAAGUGCCACAGACGAUGUAAUAGCUGUCACAUCAUGCUCUUUGGGUGGUGUAGGCACUUCUGUGAUAGAUGUAGAAGCUGAUGUAUCUUGUAUUUGUUUUGGCCUCCACACUUGUUUUGCUGGAACCAUGGGCUGAGUGUCAUUGAACAACUUAUCCCUUUGCUUCUCGGCCUCCUGCUCCGCCAUCUCUUGACUCCUUAACCUCUGUAGUUUCCUCUUCUGUGUCUUUGUUAGCCCUGGAGGACACCACUUUGGCUGAGUGUAUUUAGGAUCUCUCGUUUUUACCUGGCUGGUGCUUGCUUCAUGGUCAUUAGCCGAGUGCUUUGGCGCGAUAGAAAGUAUCAGCUCAGUCGAGUGGUUAUGCACAGUCGGCUGCUGUAUGGGGAAUGUUUCGGUGCCCAAGAUAAGUGAGUCAACAUCCAUUUUCUCCUUGCCUUUUCCUGACUCAACUGCUGCAAAACUUGGUGAUUUAACACGCCAUUCUUUCCGACUUUCCAGAUGCAUGAAAUUUCCACUCGGGCGCACCUUUUUACUUGGAUGGAAUCCACUCGGAUUGAUGUCAUUCAGAUGGUAUCCACUCGGAUGGAACUCACUCGGAUGAGAUCUACCCAUCCACAUUUUUUCACUCGGAUAGUUUUCACCUGGGUGCAUUCUUACACUCGGAUAAUUUCCAUCCGGUCGCAUAUUUUGACCAGCCGACUGAUAGUCGCCAAUGUUCAGUCGGCCAUUAUAUGAGUAUUCAAGUCGGCCCCAAACAGUUUGCCUCUGCUCUUCUGGAAACAGUGCCUUUGGUCCACUCGGUUUUGCAUACCAACUGAACAUAUCAUCUGAUGGUGACCUUGGUCGCUUCAAGUGUGAUGGCCGGUUAGAGCUGGGACCAGCCGACUGAUUAGCAUAUUUGGACAACAACAUAUCAAAAGUUGGCUUGAUCCGCUUGCGUUGCACUUUAGCUUCAUUCUUCUUCCACUUGCCAACUUCUGGACUCUUGGGCUUGACAAAUUUAACACGAGUAUUUUCUUGCACUUGCGGUUGCCCCCCGAGUGUAGGAUUCUUGAUGGUGAUUUUGAUCACUUCCUUGCCAUCGGGUUGCUUAUCAAGCACAACCUGUCUCCCCAAGACCUUGUUGUCUUCCUUGUCUUUCCUGGGCUCACCAACAAUGACAUUAGCUUUAUUAGCAGAUUCGGCUACCUCCGGCCGAAUGAGUAACUUCUUCCCUUCUAAAUCCAUGGCGUUCAUUGGAAAGGGUUGUUUAUCAACUUGCAUCUCAGAAAAGUUCAAUCGUCCGUCAUUAAUGGCCGAUUGUAUCUGUCGUCGAAAAACAUUGCAAUCAUUAGUAGCAUGAGAAAAAGAAUUAUGAUACUUGCAAUAAGCACGCCGUUUCAGCUCUUCAAACGGCGGUAAAGUAUGAGAUAUUCUAAUAAUCUUAGCAUGCAGCAAAGCAUCAAAUAUUCUAUCACACUUAGCAAUGUUAAAAGUAAACUUCAUCUCUUCAUCACGAUUCUUAUGAAUCGGUUUCAGAUCAUUGCAAGUAAAGGGUUUGGCCUUAGAUGGCCAAACAAAUUCAGUAGAAAAAACAUCACCCUCAUCGUCCGAGUGAUCACUGUCAUAUUCCACCAUAUUCAUCUUUGGACGAUCGGCUUUGUAUCUAUGCACUUCUUUGAGGUCUUUGCUUCGGCUUUCCUGAGCCAAAGCCCUUUGUAAGACUUGGUUGAUGUUUAAGAACUCGUAGCCUUCUAGCUUUUCUCUAAUGGGAGUUCUCAAACCACUCAGCACUAGGUCUGCCAAGUCUCUCUUGGUUAUCACCAAACUAAAACACCGGUUAUUCGUUUCUCUGAAUCUCUUGACGUAAUCGGAGACCGAUUCAUCAUGCUUCUGCUUAACCGAUGUUAGAUGUGACAACUUGAGUUCAUUGUCGCCGCUAUAAAAGUGAUCAUGAAAUUUCUGCUCUAGCUGCGACCAAACUCGAAUGGAACCAUGUGGUAAAGAAGAAAACCAUGAAAAUGCGGUACCAGUUAAUGACAAAGGAAAUAAACGCACUUUCAAUUCAUUCAAUGAGCCUGCCUCACCCAAUUGUGCUAAGUAUUGACUAACAUGCUCCCAUGUGGUUUUUGUGCCCUCUCCAUUGAACUUAACAAAAUCGGGAAUUUUAUAUCCUAGAGGGCACUGGAUAGCAUCAAAGUACUCGGGGUACGGCUUUUGGUAAAUCCGAUUCCGAGGUAACUCAACUCCAAAAUUCUCUCGAAGCAUCUUAGCCAUCUCCUCUCUAAGAUUAGCUAGACCAUCGUCCAUAGUGGACGAUGGAGCUUGUGGCAGUGGCAUAGGAGGGGUAGGGUUACUAGCUGUAGGUAAGAAUUGUGGCAUGUAUGUCGACCCAUAAUUUGGUAGUGGUCGAGUGGUUGUAGCUGUAGGUAGGGUUUGGUUCGGCGUCACCACCGAACCUGGCAUGCUCAUAAUAGGAUUAAUGGGUGCAGCCACAAUCUGAUUUGUUUGGGUAGGAUAAUAAGUCAUCGGCACGGGAGGCGCCGAUGAGAUAGGUAAAGCCAGAUUAGGGUUUUGCACACUAGCAGCUACACCAUCAUUACCACUAGUCGAUUGAGAUGUAUUCUUCUGAGCAUUAGUAUUUUCUAUGAAAGUUUGAUAGACUAGAUUGUUACCAUCAGCAAUACGACUUACAAUCUCAGCCCACUGCUCAGGAGAAAAGGCAGUACUUACAGAGGGUUUAACCUGUUUGGCUUGCAAAGGAGGGAACUUGAUUUCUUCAAUCGGAGUGAUGUUGCCUUGGUGAUCCUUCUUGAACUUUGCAAGGAACUCCUGCAAGUCCUUCUCCUCGCGCGCCUUCUUGUACUCCUCAUAGACUUGGCGAUGAUCGGCCGAUAUCUCAUCAAGACUGGGCUUAAUGAUGUUAUCAGCGUCUACCUCAGAUGACUUGGGAAGAUCGGACAUGGUGGAUGAUGAUGAUUGAUCUUCGUCCCCAGCGGAGUCGCCAAAAAGUGUGUUGACACACGAACACGUCACGUGUACCCUCGACGCCGGGGGUGAUGCACCGCAGCUCACGUCGAAGGAGACCCGACCGACAGCGCGAUACGCAAGACAGUCGGCGGGUGCUUUUGCAGACCCGAAACCCCGCGCACCCGGGAGGGACCCCGUCAGGGAUUGCGGUGGCUAUGGGCUGCCCUAGGUCGAUUCGCUCGCCCCUAGAGCCUCGGGAUUCGCAGCUCUCAAACACGAAGAACAGCGAAGAACGAGAUAGAAAAACGGUGGAGAGAUAAAAAGUAGACAGGAAAAAGUAGUAUAUUGAUUUGUUCGAUUGUGUGUUGUUCAAUCGGCCGUCACCCCCAACAUAUAUAAGAGGCGGCUGGACUUCCCGUACAAGUAAAGGAUUCAUCUAGGCUUUCCUUACAAGAAAAAUUACAUCAAUUCACGUCCUAGAGUCCUAGUUCUAUUCCAACUCGGAUCCAGUCUGAAUCUGGCCCAACUUCUGUCUUCCUCCUUGUGCAGCCCGCGGAGCCUCCAUAUGACCUCCGAUCAAGAUGGCCCAAAUAUCAAACUUGUGCGCCUCGACGAUACGAACAACUCUCAUAUUGAUCACUUUUUCAAAUAAGGCCAUCUUGAAUACUUUUCGACGUCAUCUUUACCUUCCAGUCGGACUCGGUCUUGCGGUAGACUGAAUUAUCCGAGUCUUGUAGUGAAUUUGCAGGCCAUAUACUAUCUUUGAUGACGAUGACUCCAACAGCAAAGUUAACCGUCUUGACGAUACGCACAACUUCUGUAUUGAACACUUCUUCAUCCGAGAUCAUCUUGAUAAACUUUUGGGCACAUGUUCAGUUUCACUCGGAUUUGAACUCAUCCACUCGGAUUUUAGAGUCUUUCACUCGGAUGGUCCGACUGGACUUUUUCACUCGGAUGACUAUAUUUUCACUCGGAAGACAAUCAAUCGGUAGGUUUUCACUCGACCUUUUACUCAAUCGGUAGGUUUUCACUCGACCUUUUACUCGAUCGGUAGGUUUUCACUCGACCUUUUACUAGAUCGGUAGGUUUUCACUCGACCUUUUACUCGAUCGGUAGGUUUUCACUCGACCNNNNNNNNNNNNNNNNNNNNNNNNNNNNNNNNNNNNNNNNNNNNNNNNNNNNNNNNNNNNNNNNNNNNNNNNNNNNNNNNNNNNNNNNNNNNNNNNNNNNNNNNNNNNNNNNNNNNNNNNNNNNNNNNNNNNNNNNNNNNNNNNNNNNNNNNNNNNNNNNNNNNNNNNNNNNNNNNNNNNNNNNNNNNNGGAUUUGAACUCAUCCACUCGGAUUUUAGAGUCUUUCACUCGGAUGGUCCGACUGGACUUUUUCACUCGGAUGACUAUAUUUUCACUCGGAAGACAAUCAAUCGGUAGGUUUUCACUCGACCUUUUACUCAAUCGGUAGGUUUUCACUCGACCUUUUACUCGAUCGGUAGGUUUUCACUCGACCUUUUACUCGAUCGGUAGGUUUUCACUCGACCUUUUACUCGAUCGGUAGGUUUUCACUCGACCGGUGACUCGAUCGGUAGGUUUUCACUCGACCGGUGAGUUUUCACUCGGAUGGUAAGCUUUCACUCGACCAAAAACAUAGCCUGAUCUUGAUUUGCCUCUCCAGGUUACAUACGACCACGGAUUGAGACGAAUUUUAUAUGAAAAUCGAUCGGCUCGACGAGACGAAACUUUUUCGUGUUGAAGGUUUUUCGAUUCAAGGACUUCUUAAGGGCCUAAUUACUCGCGCGACCCAUCAGACAUGGCGUCUGAUACUUUGCGCCAGAUUUCCACUCAGCUUCGGCCUGCAGUGUAUUGCCUCUAACUUUUGCAUAUGAACUCGGAUUGAGAUGAUUUAUAUAUCAAAAUCGAUCGCCUCGACGAGACGAAGACAAUUCCUUUAGAAU
rnacentral:lncRNA from 1 species